rnacentral:tRNA from 1 species
GUGGGUGAUCUUGAGUUAACAUGCCUCCAACGCACUCAAAAUCCGGUUCCGAAAGGAGUGUCGGUUCGAUUCCGACCGCCCGCACCA